rnacentral:rRNA from 1 species
UACGAAGGGGGCUAGCGUUGCUCGGAAUUAUUGGGCGUAAAGGGUGCGUAGGCGGUCUAUUAAGUCUGGUUUGAAAGCCCAUGGCUUAACCAUGGAUUGAGAUUGGAAACUGAUAGACUUGAGGACAGGAGAGGAAGGUGGAAUUCCACGUGUAGCGGUGAAAUGCGUAGAGAUGUGGAGGAACACCAGUGGCGAAGGCGGCCUUCUGGCCUGUGACUGACGCUGAUGCACGAAAGCGUGGGUAGCAAACAGG